UACGUAGGGGACAAGCGUUGUCCGGAAUUAUUGGGCGUAAAGAGCGUGUAGGCGGCCUGAACGGUCAGCUGUGAAAACUCGAGGCUCAACCUCGAGACGUCGGUUGAAACCAUCUGGCUAGAGUCCGGAAGAGGAGUGUGGAAUUCCCGGUGUAGCGGUGAAAUGCGCAGAUAUCGGGAAGAACACCCGUGGCGAAGGCGGCACUCUGGGACGGUACUGACGCUGAGACGCGAAAGCGUGGGGAGCGAACAGG
rnacentral:rRNA from 1 species